GUUAAAAUCUAAACGUAAAUUUGUCGUCAUCUUUUAAUUCGCGGCCUUGAGCUUUUGACCCAAAGAGGUGUUGGGAGUCUCAAGGGCAGACUAAAUGGAGCAAACACUUGUCUUUGGAGCCCAAGCCCUGACCUUAAAGAUGUAAACUCAAUUGUCUACACCCGAGGAUAUUGUGAUAGUCAGAGGCUUAACAGUGGUGUCCUUAACAACAUUUGCUCAAAGACCACGGAGGGAAAGAAGCCAUAAGUCCGACUCCAGUCAAAGGGAACACAAAUGCGGGGAGCAGUUUACCUUGGCCGUCACUGCCCCACCAGUCAAGGCUCUUAGCCCUUUUAUCUCUUCUUGUGCUUGUUUUCCGUAUUUGCAUGUAUCCCAAGUACUGUCACCUUUCGUUCCAAAAUGUGUAAUAAACACUGGCUAGAUAUUGAGAAAGCAAAAA